GACGAACGCUGGCGGCGUGCCUAACACAUGCAAGUCGAACGGAGUAGAGGCCUUCGGGCUUCUGCUUAGUGGCGAACGGGUGAGUAACGCGUGAGAAACCUGCCUUUCAGUGGGGGACAACAGUUGGAAACGACUGCUAAUACCGCAUAAUGUAUUCAGGGGGCAUCCUCUGAAUACCAAAGCUUAAUGUGCUGAAAGAUGGUCUCGCGUCUGAUUAGCUAGAUGGCGGGGUAACGGCCCACCAUGGCGACGAUCAGUAGCCGGUCUGAGAGGAUGAACGGCCACAUUGGGACUGAGAUACGGCCCAGACUCCUACGGGAGGCAGCAGUGGGGAAUAUUGGGCAAUGGGGGAAACCCUGACCCAGCAACGCCGCGUGAAGGAAGAAGGCCUUCGGGUUGUAAACUUCUUUUAGCAGGGACGAAGAACGUGACGGUACCUGCAGAAAAAGCAACGGCUAACUACGUGCCAGCAGCCGCGGUAACAC
rnacentral:rRNA from 1 species